rnacentral:rRNA from 1 species
UUGAGAGUCCUGAAGGAACGUUGAAGACGACGACGUUGAUAGGCCGGGUGUGUAAGCGNAGCGAUGCGUUGAGCUAACCGGUACUAAUGAACCGUGAGGCUUAACCUUACAACGCCGAAG